rnacentral:lncRNA from 1 species
GCUUAUGGUGCAAACAUCGGUAAAAAGAUUUGAAUACCUGUUACCAUCAACCCAGCUAAUUAAGUAAAAUCAUCCCCUGAAGAGGCAGCUCUUCUCAUCUCCCUGAUUAUGAGCUGAGAGCUCCCUGAGAGCUCCAAAUAUUCUGCUCCCAUGACUCUUACUUGGAUUUUUUUUCCCAGGCUGACAGUCUUCUAAUGAGGAACAGCAACAGUAUACAUGCCACAUCUAAGGAGGGGAGGAGGGGCCCAUCUGUGUUCACCCCACUGCUUCAGGGUCCUUCUAACAAAGAGAUUGUGCUGCGGUGGCCCCAAGAACCUUCCAGCAGGUAACACAGGUCCUUAAGAAGCCUUCAGAGCUGCAUCAAAGUGCAGCAGGGGAGACUACAGUGUGUUGUUCCCCUCUUCCUCUGUCACUUUCCAUUCCCCCGGCUCCCUUCCUUCCAAACCUGCUCUUUUCUGCCCAUUCUCAGGAAAACCUUCCCUCAGCUCUACCACUCUCUCGAGCUAAUCUUUUCCAUUGUGCUCCCAAGCAAACUCUUUUCUUUGAGAUAGCUUGGGAAAAUGAUGAAAGGGCAGUGGUGAAGCAUCCUUAAGUUGAAUGGGGCUUUUAAAAAAAGUUGUAAAAUACACAUACAAUUUACCACUUAAACCAGUUAAAAGUGUGCAAUUUAGUGGCAUUUAGUACAUUCACAGUGUUGUAAAACCAUCACCACUAUGCAGCUUCAGAACAUUUCCAUCUACCCGUAAAGAAACCCGCAUCAGUUAAGCAGCCACUCCCCUUCCCUCCUCCCACUCAGCCCCUAGCAAUGACUAAUCCACUUGUUGUCUCUAUGGAUUUGCAUAUUCUGAAUAUUUUAUAUUCAGUAUGUGACCUUUUGUGACUAGCUUCUUUCACUUAGGUUUAUCCACUUUGUAACACACAUCAGUUCUCCAUUCUUUUUUAUGACUGGAUAGUAUUCCAUUAUAUGGAUAUACCAUAUUUUGUUGAUCAGUUAAUGGAUAUUUAGGUUGUUUCCACCA